UAGCUUUUACCACGUGAUUGAAGAAUUUCAGUAGGGCACUCUGCAUAUCAGGGCUGCUAUGCUUUAACAUCUCAGCACUAAUUGGCUGUCAGGCCAAUUAGUUUUCCCUGAUUUGAAGGCUCUGAGUUUGUCUUGCAGCUCCUUGGUAGUUAUAUGAUUGUCUAGGGGGUUUUGGUUGUCUUUACAUGAUUCUAUUUGUUCAAGUCUUUCAGAAAUUGAAUUACGUCGAGUCUGUUUUUUAGGUGGAUUAUUUUGGUAGAGGUUUUCAAAAUAUUUUUUCCACAUUUUUCCAUUUUGUGUAGAUAAUUCUUCUUUUUUUAUUGAAUUUAGUUUUUCCGUGUUUCCCAGAAGUGGUUUUGGUUUAUUGACUCUUCAGUUUUGUUUAGCUGUGUGUUGAUGGGUUCCAGUCUUUUACUGUUUAUUGUUUGUUUACAUUGUUUGAGUAUUUCACUGUAUCUUAGGCAUAAAUCUUGGUUUUCAGGAUUUUUAUGUUUUUGGUUGGAUAGAGUUCUUAGCAUUUGGCAGUCCCUAUCAAACCAGUUUUCAUUACAUUUCUUAUGAUCAUUUCUCACAUUUAUAUUUUUUAACUUGGAUGCUCUCUCUUUCUCUCUCUCGUUUUUACUCUUCAUAAAGUGGACAUCAGAAGUAUUCAUCCAUCAGUUGGUGCAUACCACUGGUGUUAUCCACAACGUUUAUUGUUAAUGUUAACAGCAUGUUAACAGUGUGCUUCUCUGACUGUGAUUUCUGUAAUUAUUUCUGUCCUUCGGAACACUGAGGUUUUUUCCAGGGCUGAAAUCGUGUUCAUUGGCAGAAUCCUAUAUUCCCCAUAGCUUGCAGGAGGAAACAAUGAUCACUCGGUCUCCUCUUCUAGGGACUCAGGCCUCCCUGUGGUGCUGAUGAAAAAGCACACAGCCACGAAGGGGAGAUGAAAUGUCUCUGAAAUGUAAAACGUGCCCACAUGCCCUCAGACCGGUGGUGGCAGGGGUCCGACUGAUCUGUGAGAAGACCUGCUCUCCAGACUGUAAAUGACAAAUUGAUCCUUUGCUUUGACCAAGACUUCUUUCACCAUAAAUGCCUUACAUGUACUGAUUUACAGACACACAGAAUUUCUGAGCGACUCACUGCUCUGUCCCAAGGCGCCUCUGUUCAAAGGGAUGUGAUAUCUCUCAACUUAAAAUAACGGAGAAGAAAAUGCUAAUUGAUGUGAAAUUGGCUGAUUACACUUGUACAGCUGGUGAAUUAUGCAGUGUAGUUUAUUAGCUACUGUCUUCUAGGGUGAGUGCCAUUUUGGCUAGAGUGGUUUCCUGUCUCUUGUGUUGUUGCUUUUUUCAUAGAUUCAUAGACUGUUGUCCUGCACAGUGUAUGUGAGUACAUGAUUGGAAGACAUAUUAUUUUCAGUCGUAGCUUUGAUAUAUAUUGACAAUGUUAAAUACAGGGUGGAAGGUAUGCUAUUGUGGUUAAAUAUCAGAAUAUGAAAUCUUAGACUGUAAUUUGCCUGUAGGAAUAAUUACAUUUUAUUAAUGGUGCUUAUCAUGAGAUAAAGUUAAUUAGAAGGAUAACUAUAAAUACGGCGGCUAAUAAUUUGUAAAUAAAUAGUCGGGUAACAUGAGAGAAGACACCUCUGGGUUAAAAAAAGUGUGGGAUCUUUGAUUUCAUAUUAUCCUUUAGAAUAUCUGUGUCACAUGACUUUAUCUAUGAUUGUCUGUUCAAAAACUGUUCUGGCAGCCUGAAUGGCAAGACAUGUUCAGCAUGUGGUAAGUAAUUCAGCUUUCAUCAUAUAUAAUUAAAAUACAAACAUUCAUAUAAGCUGACAGUAUUAACUAUGAACAGUAACUAUGGUUUUAUUUAGUAGAAUUUGACUUUGGAAUAUCUCCUGGGAUACGUUGCCAGAUAAGAGGUAGUAUAGGAUUAAUUUUAUAAUUUUGAGAAUACAUGUACAUAGAGUUUCACAAUUGAUAAUAUUUUCAUAUACACUAGUAAAACUCACUUUAUUGUGUAUAGAAAAAUUAAUUUGGCCAUUUUAUCUUGGUGUGAUGCCUGUAAAAAGGUUCAAGUGCCUUUCAAGGAAGAUCCACUUUUGAGACAAUUGCAGAUUAGAGCUGGACCAGGAUCAUCUUCGCAAAGCACAAAAAUCUGAACAUUCAAGAUGGAGGUUGCUGAAGCACUUAUCCAUGGUGCUAAAGUGAAGAAGGAAAGGCCUGCAAAAGACAAUCAGGAUGAUACACCAGCCAGAAUCCUUCAGAAGCCAACUGUCCCAAGACAUUUGUUCUGACAGGAUGGACCACCUCCCCAUUUUCACAGAGAAGGGGCGAUGCAGGCUGUGCCCAGAUGGACUACUGAAAAUAAGCUGUCACAUGUGGUGCCCACCUUUGCACUCUCACAGGAAAAAACACUCAUAACUAUUUCCACAGGUUUUAUGUCAAGCAAGAGAGAAAAAUGAACACAAACAAAACAAACAAAACAUUGGGAAAAUGCAAAAAAGAUAAAUCAGUGUGGUUAAUGUGUUGAUGCCACAAUUAAGUUUUUCAAGUACUGUUACUGUAACUGUUUCAAACAUGAAAUCACAAAGUGAAGGUUUAAAUUUGGAAAAUUAAUUAAAAACAAAAUCCGUGAUUUCACA